UGUAGAGGUUCAAGCACAACCUCAGAAUUAUAUCAUGUUGGUCAUACUCGUUGUCUACACUCACCUCAUCAUAUGUUUAUGGGUUCCUCCUGGAUGUAAGCACAUACUUUGUACUUCCCCAUUAUAGGGUGAAGCCGGUGCAUGAGUCACAAACGAUUGGAUCCCACCACGGUGGAAGGCCUACGAAGAGAUGUUCAAAGCAUCUCUCGCUUAUCAACUUAAUAUUCGUUUUGAGGAAGUAGUUUUAGGCUACAUCAAAACAUUUUAAUCACAUUAAAAGAACUUGGGCCUAUCACAACCAUUGGUCCAAGUUAAUAUGAAUUAGUAGUUUAUAAUACUCCCACUAUUUCAAAGAAACAAGCGAGACUAUAUAGAACUACUAACGAAUGCAUUACAUCCUCAUAUGGACUAUAUAGUCAUAUUAGGUUUUAGGAUGAUUAUGAACCGUUCGAUUUGAUCCAACACGAGCCUUGUGUUGGACCUUGGGUUUAAGGUAGAUAGUUGUUGAUUUUAGUUACGCGUUUAAUCUAAUUAAACCGUUAUUUCCUAUUGGGCGUUGGACCCAACUAUUCCAUUUGCAUACAUUUAAACAAAAAGGAAUACAUGAAAUAAUAAGAAGGGCUUAUGCCCUUUUACAACACAAAUCAAAUGAUGGACUUAUGUCCAUUUACAACAACUUGAAUUAAUCAAAUUACAUUCAAAUCUACUCUACUAAAACCCAAACAUUCAUAAUGUAAAGCGGCCAAUCACAUAGCUCAAUUAUCGUGGCCUUCGGUUCAUAAUCACCCUUUUCUUAAUCAAUCACAUUAACUAAGAAAACAACUUUAAGCAAUUGGUUUUUGGAUCCAUAGAAUUGAUUUAAAUGGAACUAAAUGAAAUGAAAAUCCAAUUCUCAUUAAAGAGACAAAACAAUUUUGUUCUCAUCCUUUUGGGCCAAUAGGAAACUAUGACCACAACAAUUGGGCCAUAAUGCAAAUACAAAAACUUUUGGGGUCACUUUGUAAAGACACAAUAGUCCACAACUUCAUGUAAUUACAACUAGAUCCCAAAAUUUUAACAAUGUAAAAACAUCAUUAAAGGAUCAAAACAAUUUGUCCUUUAGAGUUUUAGGGCCUUAACGUAAAAACGUAAACUUUUGGGCCAAAAUGCAAAUACACAAAAGUAUCUAAAACUUUAUGUAAUUGCACAAAAGACCCCAAAAGUACCCCCACUAGGGGUGGCCGGCCAUUUAAUGAAAAAAUGAAAAAAUCUAAAAAGUUUUUGCAAGUUGAUUUUGGUGGGUGAGGUAAAGUGGAUUUGGAUAGUUUUGUAAGAGAUUUUUGUCUAACAUUAAAACCAACAAUAAUUACUUCACCAAUAAACAUCACCCAUCAAUAAUAAAUCAAUAAUAUACCAAAACUUUAUGAUAAACAUAAAACUUUUGAAUCAAAACUUCAAAACUUUAUGUUCUUGGCAAGAACACCAAGAACAAUGAAGAACACCAUGAAAACUCAUAAUAGUUCCAUGGAUGUUUUCAUUCACCAAAACUCAAUUUUUCACCUCUCAAAAGAGGGCUAAUAUCCUAGGGUACUUAGGGGUUCCAAAAGUCACCUUAAAACCAUUUUAACAAGACAAACAUGAACCCAAAAAGUCACCCUAAGGAUUUGGCCGAAUUUCCCAAAACUCAUGGCACCAAAUUUUAGUUUCAAUAUUCAUGCUUAUAUGAAAUACAUCUACAACAUUUGAGAUGCUAAAUUUUCUAGCAAAAUUUAUAUAUUCAAAAGCAAGAACAAAGCUUGUAACAUUUACAACAUUUAAAUCACAAAAUAUGAACAUCACAAAACCCAAAAGGAUUCACCACACACUAGGCCUAGGCUCUGAUACCACUUGAAGGAAAAAAUUUGUCCUAGCUAAGAACAAGUAUGAACAUUUGAAUACACAUGCAAGCUAUUAACACUUUAAAGUAGGCAUGCAUCCAAAAACAAUUCAUAAAACCCAUGACUUUCAAAGCCUAGUAGUAUAUGGUGAACCAAAAUAAACUCUUUAACUACAUUAAAGAGAAGUAAAGAUUUAGUUAUUCUUUACCCUUGAAGCUCAUCCUUGAUUACACAAGGGAUUCACCCAAGUGGAGGGCCUUCAAGUCACCUCCAAGCUUCUUGAAUCCUCCUUGUGUUUUCCUCCCUUUAGUGCUCCUUUGAUGAUUUGAGGAAAAAGGAUUUUUUCUCCAAAACACCAAAAGCUUGAUGUCUCUAAGUCUCUUCACCAAGG
rnacentral:lncRNA from 1 species